GGCCUGCUAGCUCAGUCGGUUAGAGCGUCGUGCUAAUAACGCGAAGGUCACAGUUUCGAUCCCUGUGCAGGUCA
rfam:Ixodes scapularis strain Wikel colony gcontig_1108379477996, whole genome shotgun sequence.